AGCGAACGCUGGCGGCAGGCCUAACACAUGCAAGUCGAACGAACUCUUCGGAGUUAGUUGCGGACGGGUGAGUAACACGUGGGAACGUGCCUUUUGGUUCGGAAUAACUCAGGGAAACUUGUGCUAAUACCGAAUGUGCCCUUCGGGGGAAAGAUUUAUCGCCAUUAGAGCGGCCCGCGUCUGAUUAGCUAGUUGGUGAGGUAACGGCUCACCAAGGCGACGAUCAGUAGCUGGUCUGAGAGGAUGACCAGCCACACUGGGGCUGAGACACGGCCCAGACUCCUACGGGAGGCAGCAGUGGGGAAUCUUGCGCAAUGGGCGAAAGCCUGACGCAGCCAUGCCGCGUGAAUGAUGAAGGUCUUAGGAUUGUAAAAUUCUUUCACCGGGGACGAUAAUGACGGUACCCGGAGAAGAAGCCCCGGCUAACUUCGUG
rnacentral:rRNA from 1 species